UCCCUUGAAUACGAAGCUAAUCAAGUUGACUGCGGAAACUGUAACUUAAAUCACUACUGCUCCACGAGUCCUCUCGGCUCUCAGGGAAAACCCUAGCCCCCUACGUUCUCUCUCCAUUCUCCUCUACAUCAGGCUCCCUCCCUCUCUCACAUCCCAGCGCUGCGAUUUCCUUUUAGGCAGAACGCCUCUCGCUCUCUGUGCCGAUGCUUAGAUUGAUAGCUAGCCCACAAUAAGGGAUCGAAAGGCCUAUACAAAGCUUUUUUUGAAAGCCCUCGGAAGCCAAUGAUGGUGAUGAUAUUGUUGGGGUCCUCCGGCAACAAAUUAUGGAGUUGCUUCCAAAUGGCACACCUAGAAUGUUCUUCAAGAGGAUGUCUACAUCUUUAUGCUGUUUUGUAGAUCCAUCACCUCUGCAAUAUUCAAGUGUUGGCAAUGAUGGAAUCAGUGUCUGAAAAUCGCAAGGCAAGCCUAAACCGAUCUGGUCUCGGCCAUAAUCCAUGUUUCUCUCCAUACACCGUGAUGCUGGAAGGUGCGACGAUGACAUAGGAAGGUGAUCGAAUAAAGCUAAAGCAUGUUUGGAUCAUGGGAUCUUAGAUGUCUGUUCAUGAGUUUUUCCAGCAAUACAUUAAGGUCCUUGCUAAAUUCCCGACUUUGGUUGAAGGGCACUCCUGGAAGAAUCAACGUUUGACUUCUUUCAUACUUGCUUCAGGCAAGAGACUAGAGGGGUCUUCUUUAUCUAUCAACCAUUAGAACAAGGGCAUUUUUGUUUACACAAGUUGAUUUCUUGAAUUACUUAGAAGAAUUCUCCGGUAUGUAUUUCAGUAAAUCAGUUGGGAGUGACUCUCUUUUCUGUAGCAUACCAAAGUUCGUGUUUGAACUUCUAAAUCAAUUUGUGUAGGUCUAGACUACGUCUUUACCUACUUUAAACUUAAUUUUCUUGCACCUGAAAAAAUAGAACAAAGAAAUCAUGCAAAAACACUGAAGUGGCUUGGAAAUUAUAGCAGAGGUGUGUACAACCCCCUCUCUUUUUGAGUUUUUAUAGAGUCUAGUGGGUUUGGCUUGCGACAGCAGUUGACGUUUCAUGUCAGAGACCAUGAUUUCUCGGAGAAUUACACCAUAAAGAGAUUGGAUGAUGUUUGGCUAUAGUGGAAAGUUACUACAGCGUUUCAUUAGGUCAUUUAAGAUACUUGAGAAGAUUGAGGAGGUAAAGUUUGUCUUGCAUUACCGUCACGGGCCUCACGGUCAUUGAAAGUUCACAAUGUUUCUUGUACCCUACGCUACGAAUCCUUCACGAGUAUUUGAUUGUGCCAGACUCGAUUUUGAUCAUGACAUUUGUCACGAUUCUUACGAAGAGCAACUGGUGAAUAUUCUGGAGACUAGAGAGCUUGUCUUGCUGGGCAACAAAGUUCAUUUGUUUAAGUCUUGUGGCAUUGUCAUGGAGUCAAAGAAGCCAUGUGAGUGUAGGUAUCUGAAUUCUGUUUGAACUAUCUAGCUUGUUUUCUUCUUGAGGUGGGUGGAAAAUUUUCGGGGACGAAAUUCCUCAGGGAGAAGAGAUUGUAGAGACCCGUGCUUAAUUUAAUUAAUUAAUUUAGUACAAUGAUUACUUGUUAUUAUAUAACAAAUAAUUUGGUGAGUAAUGGAUUUUUUUUUGUAUAAGUGUGUUUGGUUUAUUGGGCUUGAGUUUGUGCCUGGACCGGGUAUUGCUGUAUCGGGAUUGUUAUAACCUUUAAAUUUAUUAUUUUUAUUUGUUAGCUUUAGGGGCGUUAAUGUAAUGGCUCAUAGCAUAUUAGGUGGUGGAGAUAUAACAAACUACUUGGAGGGCCUAAGGCUCCGUCCCGGAACCAAAAAUAAGUCCUUAUUUUUUGAGAAGGCAAUUUCUAGCUUAAAAAUUAUGGGCUUAUUGAAAUCUAAAAAUAUGCAAUAUGGAUCUUGUUUGGAAGAUCUCGAUGAGAUCUUUUAUACGAUGCAAAAAAAAUUAAAAAAUUAUUUUUUAUUUACUUUAUUUUUGAGUUUGAAAAUGUGAAAUAAGCUGCUUAUUUUUUAAGAAGGUUUCUGGAACGUAAUACUUGCAGUUUAAACGUAAGGAAAAAAUAACAAGAGUUCACAUUUUGGUCUUGCAUGCGCUCUCUCUCUCUCUCCCCACACCGUUUCUUUCCCAUUUAGCAAUUUAGACUUGGGGAAUCUUGUGGCAAGGCUAGGAGCAAGAGUAAUCUUGGUGGGCUACACCAAAUCAACUUGGAGGACCUAGGAUUUGCUUGUAGUUUUUUGGGAUUUUUCUCUUUGAGAAACAGUGUAGAGAGUAGCAUCCUUUUCAAGGCCAGAGUGGAGCAUCAACAGAUCUACAGUUCUGCUCUUACCAAUUGCAAAUGGAUCAUAAACCGUAAUGUGGCAUCACGUCCUAAAAUUGACAGUCACCUCUCAUCUGGCAUCCUUUGCCAACAAUAAAAAAUAGCCUUCACCAAGGCAAGCAUGACCCAAGCAACGGCAAAAAUAUUAAGCAGCAAAUUCCAACUCUACACUUUUUACACAUAAAGCAUCUAUACAACAAGAACUCUCACCGCUUGCCCAAAUGGUCAAUGGUGAGAAUGACCCAGUUUAUGUACAGAAUUAUUAACCCAUCUUGCCUUCUGAAUCUUCAAUAGGGACCAGAAAAUAGAUGCUGAAGAAUCAAUCCACAAUCACACUGAAGUUCCCGUACUAGUCCAAUAGCCAUGGGAAUUCAAUGCUAGUCGAUAGGUUCUUGAAUGAUGAGUGUUUUUUGGUUUGUAGUUCUCUUUGAAAAUUUUGAUGAAGUGUUCUUGGUGUUUAUUGAAUCAAUUUUGGUAGUUUACCUGAAAUUGAUGCUGUAGUUGUUAAGAAUGGAAUUGAGUCGGAUCAAACAACUACAGUUCCACAAGCAGCUGAUGAGACAGAACAAAUUAGCAAGGUAGUGGGAAAAAGAGCAACUAUUACCACAGCCUUAGCAAAUGCUGGGAACCCUUUGGAAGGAGCUGAGACGGAGCUUGUUUUGAAUCCGAUCCGACUUGGAUUUGAAUCCAAUAAUGUGAAAGUCCACAGCUUGUGUUGGAUUGUCUACAUGUACGUGCUUGUUUUGAUUGCGUACUUGAUUUUGAGAAGUUUUAGUUUAAUGAGUCAUCUUUGUUAUUAUCUGUUUUAGUUGAUAGAGUGGAAGUUGACAUAUCUGUGAAAUCUCAGCAGAAAUUAGAAAACAAAGAUCCACCACAUUCUAUAGUUGUCUAAACUUUCAAUGCAUAUAGCAGAUUCAUGGUCCAACUUAUUCUGAUUAAAUUCCAUGAGCACAGAAACUCAUAGCAUAUGACCAUUUUGAGGGUGAUCCUGGGCUAGAUGGGGGUAAAAAUGUGCCACUGUUUAUAGACAUUCUUAACAUAGUUUGCAGUUGUGUGGAGAAUUCAUCAUCUGGCAGGUACUGCCUUUGGUUAUGAAGUGUUGAAGGUGCUUCUUACUGCUGUAUCGUCCACCAAGUUCGGAGGAACAAUCUGGAUUGAACUGACGAAGGAUUAACUUGCUAUUCACCUUCUUGAUGUGCAGUUCACGGAGAACCAUUGCUAGGAGUAAUCAGAGUUUGUUAUAAUAUUGCUCCUAACAGGUGCAAGAGUCCUGUGAACCAAGCAACGUCAAAGGCGACGUUGACCCAAAUGAUCAGCAUCAUAUUCAGGCGAACGGAAACUGAUCUGGCAGUUCAGGUCUCUACCACAUCUAGUUCUGUCCCACAUAAAGAACCUGCUUCAGAAAAUACUUCAGACUCAACAGUGGAAGAGGCUUUUUAGAUGAGACAGAGGAAUGACUUUGGGUCAUGCACUUUCUCUGAAUCAAGUGAAAGCGAUGUCUCUUUCCUCUGUGGAGGAACUUUAGAAUCUUGCUGGGGGUGCUGACAUA